rnacentral:rRNA from 1 species
UACGGAGGGAGCGAGCGUUGUCCGACGUUACUGGGCGUAAAGCGCGCGUAGGCGGGGGAUUAAGUGCGAAGUGAAAGGCUGGGGCUCAACCCCAUGCAGUGCUUCUCAUACUGGUCCUCUUGAGGGUGGUAGAGAGAAGUGGAAUGGCUGGUGUAGCGGUGAAAUGCGUAGAUAUCAGGUGGAACACCAGUGGCGAAGGCGGCUUUCUGGACGAUAACUGACGCUGAGACGCGAAAGCGUGGGGAGCAAACAGG